UUACGUUGGGUCAGCUGUCGUCAUAUUAGUGCGGGAGCCAGCGACAGUUCUUGAUGACCAAAGACGUUUAUUUCGUCAUCGAUGGCGGAUUUCUACUGCACAACGUCAGAUGGCCGCGUGGAACAUCAUUUCAUGUAAUUUACGAAUUAUACCACUCGCAUAUCAUCAAAUACGGAGAAAAUUCUUCGCUCGUCUUCGAUGGAUACAGCAACGAAUAUAUUGGCAUAAAAUCGUACCAGAGGUACCGCCGACGACAACAAAAUAUGGCACCGGAUAUUAAUUUCACAGAGAGCAAACUCGUCACUUUGAGCCAAAAAAGAUCUCUGUCGAAUGUGAUGAACAAAAUGAAACUGGUGCAGGGACUGUCGGAAUUUUUACGUAGCCGUGGUGUGAACGUGAAAGUUGCACAAAAAGAUGCGGACACGCUUAUAGCGAGGACAGCGAUUCAGCUAAUUGUAAGGCAAAGUACGGGCUGCGACGUGGCAGUUGUUGGUAAUGACACCGACCUGCUGGUUUUAUUGAUCGGUUUAGCGUAUUCCAGCCCUCUGUAUUUUUACGAGAUCACGCUAACUGGUAAAAACAAUACUUUGUAUUAUACAGAAGACCAUGCACAUCUGAAUCCGUAUAUUUUAUUUGCCCACGCAUUAGCUGGAUGUGAUACGACGAGUGCCAUGUACCGCAAAGGAAAGAAGAGCGUCAUAUCCAUUCUGCAAAAGAAUGUCCAUCUACGGACCGCUGUAAAAACGUUCUACAACGCUGCAAGUACAAUCGAGAGUCUGUGUGAAUGUGCGGAACGAAUAAUAGCACAUUUAUACAGCUUCGACAAUUCGAAUUGGUAGCUCAGUGAUGCUCGGUACGAAAAAUUUUCAUCGCUGCUCGUGCACAGCAAAUUGGAAAAUCGAUUGGCGGUUUUACCUCCAACGCAACCCGUCCUGCGAGAACACGUAAAACGCACGUUCUAUCACGUGCAAUCGUGGUUGGACGACGACUUGAAUCCACAGGAUUGGGGCUGGAAGAGAACGACCACGAUGUUGAUUCCUGUCAUGAACGCUAAGAAAUCAGCGCAUGACAAUUCGUUAACGAUGGUACAAUGUGCAUGCACUGAACAGUGCAAACACUAUGGAGGACAAUCCUGCUCCAAUUUUUCAAUCAGUACGGUCGAUGAUGACAUUACAGCAGAAGAAAGAGACGAGGAUAACGAGGAUAUUCCGAUUAAUGAAUUCCUAGAUAUUGCCGCAGAACUGGACCCCGAUGAUAUUGAUUACGAGGAAGGUGGCGAAAGUGACGAAGAAGAGGAUGUAGAAAUCGAAUACGAUUUUGAAGAGAUGUAAAUAAAUAAAUAGAUUUUGUGUUUCGUAAAAAAUUCGUCUCAUCUUUUGUUCUCUAAAUGUUCGAACCACCCUUCAGUG
rnacentral:misc_RNA from 1 species